GCUCAGAACGAACGCUGGCGGCAUGCCUAAUACAUGCAAGUCGAACGAGCCUUUCGGGGCUAGUGGCGCACGGGUGCGUAACGCGUGGGAAUCUGCCCUUGGGUUCGGAAUAACGUCGGGAAACUGACGCUAAUACCGGAUGAUGACGUAAGUCCAAAGAUUUAUCGCCCAGGGAUGAGCCCGCGUAGGAUUAGCUAGUUGGUGAGGUAAAGGCUCACCAAGGCGACGAUCCUUAGCUGGUCUGAGAGGAUGAUCAGCCACACUGGGACUGAGACACGGCCCAGACUCCUACGGGAGGCAGCAGUAGGGAAUAUUGGACAAUGGGGGCAACCCUGAUCCAGCAAUGCCGCGUGAGUGAUGAAGGCCUUAGGGUUGUAAAGCUCUUUUACCCGGGA
rnacentral:rRNA from 1 species